GGGAACAUAGCUCAGUUGGUAGAGCAACGGAUUGAAGCUCCGUGUGUCGCAGGUUCGAUUCCUGCUGUUCCCG
rnacentral:tRNA from 1 species